rnacentral:sRNA from 1 species
CCCUAGCCCAGAUAGUAGCGGCAUCCUUUUGUGCCCCAAAACCGCUGUAAAGAGCGGUUUUGGGGUAUAAAAGAUAGAGCGGAUAGCUGGAAAUUGC